rnacentral:rRNA from 2 species
CGACCCCAGGUCAGGCGAGGUUACCCGCUGAAUUUAAGCA